rnacentral:rRNA from 1 species
GAAUAGGACCUCGGUUCUAUUUUGUUGGUUUUCGGAACCCCGAGGUAAUGAUUAAUAGGGACAGAUGGGGGCAUUCGUAUUGCGACGUUAGAGGUGAAAUUCUUGGAUCGUCGCAAGACGGACAGAAGCGAAAGCAUUUGCCAAAAAUGUUUUCAUUAAUCAAGAACGAAAGUUAGAGGUUCGAAGGCGAUCAGAUACCGCCCUAGUUCUAACCAUAAACGAUGCCAGCUAGCGAUCCGCCGAAGUUCCUUUGAUGACUCGGCGGGCAGCUUCCGGGAAACCAAAGCUUUUGGGUUCCGGGGGAAGUAUGGUUGCAAAGCUGAAACUUAAAGGAAUUGACGGAAGGGCACCACCAGGAGUGGAGCCUGCGGCUUAAUUUGACUCAACAC